rnacentral:tRNA from 1 species
GCCCCUGUGGUAUAGCCUGGACAGAAUGCGAGCUUCCGAAGCUUGAGACCUGGGUUCGAAUCCCAGCAGGGGCG